GCCCGCCUAGCUCAAUCGGAUAGAGCGUCAGACUUUUACGCAUAUGGCGGGUGUGGAAGCAGAUCCAUAAUCUGAAGGCUGCGGGUUCGACCCCCGCGGUGGGCU